rnacentral:tRNA from 1 species
UUCCUCAUGGUCCACUGGUUAAGACUCUGCCCUCCCAAUGCAGGGGGCCCAGGUUCAAUCCCUGGUCAGGGAA